CUUAAAAAACAGACAAAAGAACACCACACCUCAGUAACCUUGUAUGCUGCAUUAUGUAAUAAUGAUAGUGAAAUUACAUUGAUUGUUUGGAGUGUACUGUGUCUGUCUGCAAACACACAUGCACAGUAAACGUCUUCAUUUUUAUAAUGUCAUAAUAGCGAUUAUGGGUCCUCUUUCUUUGUAAUAUCAGCUAAGAUAAGAUGGAAUGUUAACAUACCAACCAAACUACUAAUUCCAUAAACUCUAGAGUUUGGAUUUUUACCAAUAAACCAUUAACACUA
rnacentral:lncRNA from 1 species